rnacentral:rRNA from 1 species
AUUGAACGCUGGCGGCAGGCCUAACACAUGCAAGUCGAGCGAGCGGCGGACGGGUGUGUAAUGUGUGUGGACUGCCCGAUAGAGGGGGAGAACUACUGGAAACGGUAGCUAAUACUGCAUACUAUCGGACAACCCCUAUGGGAUUAGCUAGUAGGUGAGGUAAUGGCUCACCUAGGCGACGAGCCCUAGCUGGUCUGAGAGGAUGAUCAGCCACACUGGGACUGAGACACGGCCCAGACUCCUACGGAGGCAGCAGUGGGGAAUAUUGCACAAUGGGCGCAAGCCUGAUGCAGCCAUGCCGCGUGUAUGAAGAAGGCCCUAGGGUUGUAAAGUACUUUCAGUCGGGAGGCGUUACCGACAGAAGAAGCACCGGCUAACUCCGUGCCAGCAGCCGCGGUAAUUC